rnacentral:rRNA from 1 species
GUAGGUGGCAAGCGUUGUCCGGAAUUAUUGGGGCGUAAAGCGCGCGCAGGCGGUUCUUUAAGUCUGAUGUGAAAGCCCACGGGCUCAACCGUGGAGGGUCAUUGGAAACUGGAGAACUUGAGUACAGAAGAGGAAGGCGGAAUUCCACGUGUAGCGGUGAAAUGCGUAGAGAUGUGGAGGAACACCAGUGGCGAAGGCGGCUUUCUGGUCUGUAACUGACGCUGAGGCGCGAAAGCGUGGGGAGCAAACAGGAUUAGAUACCCUGGUAGUCCACGCCGUAAACGAUGAGUGCUAAGUGUUAGGGGGUAUCCGCCCCUUAGUGCUGCAGCUAACGCAUUAAGCACUCCGCCUGGGGAGUACGGCCGCAAAGGCUG